rnacentral:rRNA from 1 species
GGGGAAUUUUGGACAAUGGGCGCAAGCCUGAUCCAGCCAUGCCGCGUGAGUGAAGAAGGCCUUCGGGUUGUAAAGCUCUUUCGGACGGGAAGAAAUGGCGGGCUCUAACAUAGCCUGUCGAUGACGGUACCGUAAGAAGAAGCACCGGCUAACUACGUGCCAGCAGCCGCGGUAAUACGUAGGGGGCAAGCGUUGUCCGGAUUUACUGGGUGUAAAGGGCGCGCAGGCGGGAUAAAAAGUCAGUGGUGAAAUCCUACAGCUUAACUGUAGAACUGCCUUUGAUACUUUUAUUCUUGAGUUCGGGAGAGAGAGACGGAAUUCCAGGUGUAGUGGUGAAAUACGUAGAUAUCUGGAAGAACACCAGUUGCGAAGGCGGUCUCUUGGUCCGACACUGACGCUGAGGCGCGAAAGCGUGGGGAGCAAACA